rnacentral:tRNA from 2 species
GUGCCCUUAGCUCAGCUGGUAGAGCAACUGACUUUUAAUCAGUAGGUCGCAGGUUCGAACCCUGCAGGGCACACCA